UUGAUCUCUUUCCUCAUAUUUUGUGAACAUUGUAAUUUAUUCCUUUUUUUAUUGGCAGUUUAUCACAAAUGAUACCUAACUUGCCAAAAGGAUGCUCCUGCAGUUUGAGGAGUACGUGCUGCCUAAAUUGGUCCUUCCAGCCUAAGCAUCUGGCACCAUCAACAGCAAUAUUCUUGUCAGAUACAAAAUCAAAGCCACUUCAGCCCUGGCUCUCCAGCCCAACCUUUCUCAUUCAUCGUUACUUCUCGUCAAAAUGAUAUCAGUGAAAUUACACGGACAUUCAGACUUACAGAAGAAGGGAACUUGGAGCAAACUGUUUUUAUGGCAACUUCUGAACAGCCUCUAUUGCAGCAUCUUCACAUAACCUACACACGGAGUUCAUAGCAGUCCAUUCACGUACAGAUUUUCGCUCCAGUCUCUAAAUGCACUGACUGUUCUAAGUGCUCACCAUUUACACUGCGACGUCCUUGUGAUAAACCUGAAGAUUUUAGAAGCUGGAGCUUUUAAUUUUAGUUUUUGAUAGUUUAUUGUAUAAAAAACACACUAUUUUAAUUGUGAAUCACUGUUACUGGGUGCUUUGGAGGUUUAUUGACGCUUCCAUGCAGUUGAUUUUGUAGGAUGUUAGGAUAAUCAGGAAAACUUUCUGAAAUGUGAUUUUUGCUUUGCCCCCUAGUUGAACAAGAUUCCUGUUUCUUUUGUUCAGUCAUUUAAAAAAAAAAUUGUAAAUAAUAAAUUCAGGAAUGCCUACCAGAUGUCGUCUUCCAUUAAAUUACUUGAGGCCUGAUCUCCUGAUUUUUUUUUAAAUUGGAACUUGGAUCUUGUCUUGGGCAGCAUCUCCAACUGAAGGAGCAGUGAGUAACCGUGUCCUGGAACUCACCGUACUCCAGUCAACUCCUCAGAGGUGUGUGACCGGAAUUGAUUAGCCUUGACAGGAACUAACUGAUUUCUUCCAGAAAAGCAUAUGCUGUAACUACCCCAGAGUUUUCACUAUGCCCUGUAUUACCUAAUUUUUAAAUAUUCUUUCAUGGAAAUGUACUGAGAAGGAUCUUUGAGGAACCCACCCAGAUGAUACAUCAGCUGUUGUGAAAGUUGAAAAUUGAUAAUGAAGACUAAUGACUUAUUUGACUUGUAUAGUAAAUUUGUUUUUAUUUGUUAAUGGAAUGGAUAUGACGCUGUCAAGCUCUAUUUAAUGCUUAGUUUGUGUGGCAGACCUUUCUCUGGAACAGAUGCAGCCCUUAUGGUAGGAGGGAGUUCCAGGAUAUUGAUUUAGUAAUGCUGGCUAGAUCGUGAUUUUAUAUAUAUUUAUAACGUCCAUGAAUAGUGUGAUUUGUAAGCUUUUGAUCCCAUAGUUAAAGCAGAUAAGCAUUAAACGGUGAACCUUAAGCAAAAUAGAAAAUUUCUCCCCCUAAUGUGUAAAUAAAUGUCCAUUGGAGAUUUACUUUUUGUCUCCUGAAUGCAGUAACCUUUAAUGGGACAAUCCACCAGUGGCCCACCUGAUUUGUAGUAAUGUGUAGACCACUGAAUAGCGUAAUAGUCCAGUGCUGACCUCUUGGAAAACCCUGUAGUGGAUGAUGAAGAAGCUGUAGAAAUCAGAGCAUAGACAGUGAAAGUAGUAAGGUGCUUUAGAAACCUAGGUUUCUCACUAUACAAAUCAUCAGAAGCUGUGUAUAAGAAAUAAUAAGAACAGCUCAUGCAAUGUUGGCCUCCUGAAGGAAAUAGAAUUCAAAUGAGCACUUCACUGGGGCAGAGCCUUGCGUGGAUCCAUUUGGAGUUCCGAAUGUGUUCAGUACCUUUUUGGAGGCACUGCACCUCAUGUCUUCUCUCUGAGCUCUGAGUAUUUGGAAUGAAAGACCGAGAUUGAUAGAAUUUUUGAUUCUGAGGAAUUUAGGGAUAUGAGCAUAAUGAGAAGACGCAGUGGGGGAGGUCAGUUCUUCCUGAGUGGAGAGCAGGCUCAAGGGACCAAAUGCUCACCUCCAGCUCCCAUUUCUUAUGCUUAUGCAUUUUUUGAUUUAUUUGUUGGUAAACUGAAAUAGCAAUAUCAUGAUAGAAGCGACAGUAGCAGCCAUCAUAACCAGCUCAUGAUGGAUUAAUGCUUUACAGAGACAAAUAUGGAAACUUGGAAUGUAACAAAAACUAGCCAAACACUGUAUGACCUUGGUUGUUCAAAAGACUGUUUGAACGGUAUGAUUAAAGGGAAGCCAAUUUUUUUUUGUCAUGAGACCAGAUAAAAGUGGACUGUUGAAAGAUAACUCUGUAGCAUUUUUACUGUUGGAUUGUGUUUCUUCAAGGUAUACUGUACCAGUAGGUGAAGCUAAUGAUCAACUAGUGGGUUCAAUUAUAUUUGCUGGAAAAUUAUAGAAUUGAGAUAAAAAAUUUUUUAACCCAUUCCAUUAUGUAAAGUUAACUUAACUUGAUCACUGAUUUGGUUGUUGUUAGGGUCAUGUCAAAGUUACCUAAUAAAGUUGUUGAUUUGCUAUUAGGAAAUGACCUGGUUAUAAAUAAGGUACGCCAAUGCCAGUGGCUUUUGAAGAGUCUGGUGAAGAUGUUAAAAUUGAAAAGGUGCAAGAAAAAUUUAGUGACAUACAAAAAUCUCUGAUUUUAAAUAAUCCGACGACAAAAAUUAUUGUUUCAUAUAAAGACAUGGAUAUGUGAGCCGAUGGCCUAGUGGUCUUAUUGCUGAACUGUUAAUCCAGAGACCCAGGUAAUGGUCUGGGGACCCAGGUUUGAAUCCUGCCAUUAGUGAUGGUGAAAUUUGAGUUCAAUAAAAAUCUGGAAUAUAAGAGUUUAAUGAUGACCAUGAAUCCACUGUCAAUUGUCAGGAAAAUCCCAUCUGGCUCACUAAACCUCCUUUAGGGAAAGAAAACUGCCAUCCUCACCUGGUCUGGCCUACAUAUGACUUCAGACCCACAGCAAUGUGGUUGACACUUGAUUGCCCACUGGUUAAUUAAGGAUGGGCAAUAAAUGCUGGCCUAGCCGGGGAUGCCCACAUGCUGUGAAUGAAUAAAUAGAAAGAGUCCAAAGUUCAAACUGUGAACGUUUAAAUGUUAUUUGCUGAAAACAAGCAGUUAGUGACAGUUGAAGAAUUAAAACUCCAGAACUAAGUGUCAUCAUUCAAAAAUCAGGGGUUAAAAUGAGAUGAGGCAAAAAAAAUUCCCUGAACGUCGUGAGUCUUUGGAGCCCUGUGUAAAGAGGAGAUACAGAGCGUUUGAAUUUUUUUUUAAGGCAGAGGUGGAUAUAUUCUUGUUAAGGGUAUUAGAAGCUAUCAGAACUAGCUGGAAUGUUGAUUUGACAUAAUCAGAUCAGCCACAAUUUUGUGCUACAUUUAGUAACGCAGUAGAUAAAUGUUUACAAAGUUAUAUUUUGAUACUGUUAUAGAAAAAUCAUUACUAUGGAAAAUAUUUGUCAUUUUUGUUUAUCUGAAGGUUGGACUUUUUAAGACAGUUAUGCUUUAAACUGCCUCUGUUAAUUCAAAGCAAAAUGGAGCAUCUUUGUUAAAGAGAUGUAACCUCUUACAGAAUCUUCAACAUUAAUGGGACUCGGGUUCAAUAUGGAAGAGCUUUCCCACCAGGUGAAGACAAGUUGCCAGCUGUUGGGAGGUAAUAAGAGACCGUCCAUAUUAAGUAGGGUCAGGUUGAAAAAUUAUGGCCUUCCUUGCUCAGGAUUUUUGACCUCAAGAUCUCCCAAAACUUCUUCCUGUACUUUAAUAGCCUGACAAAGUCUUCUUUGGUGAUGGCCAAUCUUGAGACAAUCCUUAACUUUUUACUUUUGAGUGCAAGCUCCUGGGCUCAAAAGAGAGAAUCAUUUAAAACUCUUUAUUAAUAAAGUCAGCACAAAACCAAAUAAUACAGUACUUUAUUGCAUUGGUGCUAGCAUAUAUUCACACGUAAAUAAAUCAUCAAGGGUUUAGAAACUGAUUCCUUGGCCAAUUUGUGAUACCCUAUGCAAACUACUUAUAAUUUCUAAGAUUAUUGGUGCAUUCCACCAUUAUACAACAUGGUGUAUGUGGUUUAAAGGAGAGUUAGGAAACCAGUUUAAGAUGGAAGAAUGUUGGCUGUCUGUCUAACGAGUAUACAAGUACACCUGGGGUCUCUCUCAAAGUGCAACAUUAUCUGUUUAUUGGCACUUCAAAUGCUUGAACCAUCGAACUGGCUCUGAAAGUCUGUACUCUCAUCUUUCGAAACAUUGAUGUUCAAAUCUCCCUCUUUAUCAUCCUUUCUGAGACUAUGAGGUAUCUGGCCAUGAAGUAACAUUCCUUUUGUGCUUUUUUCAUGCAGUUUCACAGGUUUAUCUGAGUUGGAUUUGCACCAGUUAAUCCAAAAAUUAACACUAUCAAUAUUCUACCUCACUAAUCCCUCACCAUGGUUACUAAGCACUUUAGCGCUGGCCUAACUUCAAGCAGAUGCACUUGGAACUAGUUGGGAGUAGAAAGAAACCUGAAUCAAAGGACUAUGAAUCAAAAGCCUUGUUGAUUAGCCGACUGUGUGUGGAAAAUGUUAUUAAAACAACUUAAACUCUUGUGAAUUAAUUCUAUCUUUAUUAACUUCAAUUUUUUUUAAUUUGUUGAUGGAGAGUUGCUGGCAAGGUCAACAUUUAUUGCCUAUUUGUACCAUCAACUUGCUAUGAUUAUUCAGGUGUAAAAUUCCUACUUCUAAAUAAACUUGACUAUUACUUUAAA